rnacentral:lncRNA from 1 species
AGAAAAGAAUUUUGAAGAAAAAUGAAUUGAUAAGAAAAGGAAAGAAUUCAGAGGAGUUGAUUUGGGCCAUUUAUGUUAAUUCUCUCAGCCCAGUGCAUAACCCGUCCAGUCCAGCCCGUGUUCCACUCCAAUACCCUGUCCAGCCCCACUUCCCAACCAAACGAUGUCGUUCGUAAGGUAAUAGAUAUGUGCCGUUAAUCUCUUUCAAUCCAACGGCCAAGGAAUGCCCCCCUUUUGAUAUACCUGUCCGAAACUCACAAAGAAACCUCGUAUCUCUGUACUUCGACUCCCUCAUCCCUAACCCUAAGACCCGUCGCCCUGGAAUUCUUCACCAUUUCCGGUCGGUGGCGAGUUUCCAAACUCAGCCAAAUUUUUACCAUAUAAUCCUCGUUGCUUCCUCAUGAAAAAUCCCUCAUUAGUUUUCUCCGAAAAUCACCCAAUCCUCGCGAAUUCCAAAUCUUGGAAGGCAGAAAAUUCCAGUUGUUCUAUCUUCCCUGAUUUCUUUUUGUGUUUUUCCUUUAUUUGUUUCUUUUUGGUAAUAUCACGUGGGAUUAGCUGUUUAUUCAGUCAAUUUCAAGGCAUAUCAUGGCAGCCGGCUUUUGGUCAAACAACCCGCGUUUCGAGCUUCUGUUUCAUCUCACUUCAAGGUAGAUGUUGAAGAUUGUGAUAUGGAGCACACGCUGUUGAAGAAAUUCCGGUUAGUGCUCGUGUUACAAUUCUCGUCAUUCACCAAAAACUCCUAUCAGUCAUCGAUCUCUCUGAGUCGUCGAUCCUUUUGGCAGACCCUAGUAUAUUGCUCUCCUUUUUGUUUAUUUUAAUUUUCAUUUUUCUCUUCUUUUGCUGUUCGUCAUCCUAGUUUGGUUUCAGUCACAUUAGCUCUUGGUUGAUUAAGUCAGAAUCAAUAGUUUAGUACAAAGAUUAUUCAUUCAUGUUACUUGUUUUCCUUUUCCUUUGCUUCUUUUAUUAGUAAAAAAUGGUUUGUUACUUGUGAAGUUGCGUUGGUUUUAAAAUACAUGUGGGAUUCGUAAAGCAGAAGCCCAAAGUGGGGAAGGGAAAUUCUGUUAACCAGCCCAUGAUUUAGGACUGGAUGUGGGGUAUUUAGAUCCAUUUUUGUUUUUCAGAGGGUAAAUAAUGGAGGCUUAAAAGGGUGUUUGGGGAAAUUGGGGUAGGGAAUCUUUAGUAACUGCUGUGAGAAGCUUCUAGGAAAGAGGAUUGGGGAUUAAACUAAAAAUCCGAGUCUUACACUAAGAGCACAGUAGCAAAAACAAAAAUUGGAAAAAGAUUAAAGAGCAAAGUCUAAAAUCUUUAUGAUGCCCUAACACCCUCUAUAAAAGCCACAUUUGCUGAAAUUCUUGAGGGGAUCAUAUUUUUAAAAAAAAACAAAAACGGCUAGAAAAUACUGAAAGUUACUUCUCCAUUAAAAUCUUUUGGAAUUCUUGAUGUUUUUCGCUUUCUGAAGGCUAUUCUGAUUCAUCUGGGCUGAAAAGUGGUUUGGAUUAAGAGUUGUGGCUUGUUUUCUAUUGCUGCUAAUCUAUUACUGUUGCUUCCUCUUAAGUUUCAAGCUAAUUUUUGUAUCUUUUGCUGUUAUUCAGGUAUAUUUCUGCAUUCCACCUAAAUGUAAAGCUUGAUUGGGAAUCAAAAAUGAAAAUCCAGAGCUUUGAGUUGUAUUCACCCUUAGUUGGAUUCAUAGUCUAGCUUACUUGUCUACUUUGUUGUUGUUUAGAAAAUUUCAUUUACCGCCUUUCAAACUAUGGAUAUGUCAUCAAAGACUAAGCCUAUGAAUAUCAUAUGACAUGGUAGCUUGGUCGGAUGUCCAUCUUAGUAUAGCCCUUUUUAUGUAGUCAUAUGCACUACUUCUUUGUUUUAAGGUCAAUAUCUGGACUAGUUUAAAUGUAGGCGAUUUGAGGUCCUAUUUUUAGGCUGUUAAACAUGUACUGUUAAAUGUCUGAUUCUUUAGAGCAAAGAUCAAGGUGUGCCUUAUUAUUUUUCUUUAGAACUAGUUUAAAUCAGUUUCAUGUUUAGCUUAGUUCUUCUUUCAGAAUUUGAGUUUUGUAUCACAUAUUUCUAGUGCUUUGUGCUGUAAAAUUCAAGCGAGGCAUUUGUGUUCUUAAAAAACUAUGAUUCAAACAAUGAAUUUACAAUUUGAAAAGUUAC